rnacentral:rRNA from 1 species
UGGGGAAUAUUGGACAAUGGGGGCAACCCUGAUCCAGCAAUGCCGCGUGUGUGAAGAAGGUCUUCGGAUUGUAAAGCACUUUCGACGGGGACGAUGAUGACGGUACCCGUAGAAGAAGCCCCGGCUAACUUCGUGCCAGCAGCCGCGGUAAUACGAAGGGGGCUAGCGUUGCUCGGAAUGACUGGGCGUAAAGGGCGUGUAGGCGGUUUACACAGUCAGAUGUGAAAUCCCCGGGCUUAACCUGGGAGCUGCAUUUGAUACGUGUAGACUAGAGUGUGAGAGAGGGUUGUGGAAUUCCCAGUGUAGAGGUGAAAUUCGUAGAUAUUGGGAAGAACACCGGUGGCGAAGGCGGCAACCUGGCUCAUGACUGACGCUGAGGCGCGAAAGCGUGGGGAGCAAACAGGUUAGAUACCCUGGUAGUCCACGCUGUAAACGAUGUGUGCUAGAUGUUGGGUAACUUUGUUAUUCAGUGUCGCAGUUAACGCGUUAAGCACACCGCCUGGGGAUACGGCCGCAAGGUUGAAAC